GUAGUGUUGUGUGUGUGUGUGUGUGUGUGUGUGUGUGUGUGUGUGUGUGUGUGUGUGUGUGUGUGUGUAGGGUCUGGACUCAUACACACACACACAGACACACACACACAGACACCCACACACAGUAGUGAAGUAGUGUUGUGUGUGUGUGUGUGCUGUAGGGUCUGGACUCAUACACACAGACACACACACACACACACCCACACACAG
ensembl:snoRNA